AGCAAGCCAGCUCUGUUCUUUUAGAAAAGCUUGAUGUUUAUUUUCUUAAUUAUUAUUUCUUGAGUAAAUUUUUUUCCUUCUGCGGUUCCGCCAACGUUUUUUGGAGCAAAAAAUAUGGAGGCUAAUAUUAAAAUAAAAUAAACAUUACUCAAUCAUCAUCUUGGCACUAACCAUGUUCGUUGUUUUGAACACCUUGCAUUGUUGGCCAGAGGAAUAGAAGAUAAAAAUAAAGCAAUCCGGGUUCAAAACCCGGAAUCCAGAAAUCCGGACCGGACCCGGAUUAAAAAAAACGGGUGUAAUGUGGGUCCGGUUAUGAGAAUUUUGUGUCCGGGUCCGGAUCCGGAACAGCCAAACCCGGACCCGGACCCAGAAAUUGCCAUCGCUAGUUGGAACGAGCCACAUGGUUGUCCAAUCACCCCUAUGCCAGACACGAAAGAAAUGAGGUUCUGCCGAAAUGACAAAAUGAGAGCUCUUCAGAAGCUAAGCUUGUCUUUUCGAGUGUAGGGGACUCUAGAAGAUGAGAAGGUUGUUGAAUGAGUGUUUCACAUGAAGUGAAAGUAGAUCAAGUGAAUGAGGUUUUUGGCAUAGAGUGAAAGUGAAUCUAUUGUAAAAUAUACCGUAAUACACUUUUUG
rnacentral:lncRNA from 1 species